rnacentral:lncRNA from 10 species
UCUGUAUACAUUUUAUGUAAGAUCCACAAUAUCAGAGGUUUUUCACAGAAACCUGCCUCCAUGGCUAUGUGUAUGCCUCUACAGACGUGCACACAAGCUAUACUAGUCUUAUAUAAGAAUCUGAACAUUUCUUUAUGAGGGCUGGCCUCUGUUUCAAGCUUCUCAUGUUAUGUAAGUAGCCGCUUUGCCUGUCUUCCUGCAAUGAUUUCAGCUCUAAGCAGUAUACUUCGCUCAGAAAAGUUUUUAUUAGUUGUCUUCUUUCCCCACCCAUUUUAAAGAACAAACUGACUCAGUUUUUUGAUGGCAACACCACUGGGUGGGAGUGAACAUGGGAGUGGGCAGGGUGGGAGAAAGGGAGGAUGAGGAGGCGGAGGAGGUGGUGGGAGCCAAGAGCUGAAUCACAGCCAUGUGAGUAAUCUUAGGCUUUUUUUUUUCUUCCUAAGGGUAUGAAUCAAAUUAAGCUUAUUUUGCUGUGGGUGAAGGAAGAGGAAUAUAAUAGCGUGAAUCAGAGCAAUUAUCAAAUAUGCGGCACUCACUAAAAAUUAAUUACAAUCACUACUUUUUUUCACAUGUCUGCCUGAAAAUGCCAGAGAGCUUCUGUUAUUAAUCAAUAUAAUCCUUGACAAAAAUUCUUCAGACUUUGAACUCAAUUAUCACCCUCUUCCCUUUAAAAAUUUCCUUUUACACAUGAAUUUCAGAAACAGGAAUUCUUUCGGAGCUUCUGUGAGAUAAUCUUUGGCCCUUGGAGGACGUGGCCAAGCUAUCAAAAAACUGCAGCCUGUGGAGAAGUAGCAAGUAGGAGGGAGGUCAGGAGUGGGUGGCUAAAACCACCACAAGAUUUGAGAACGCAGAUGUAUUUAACUGGAAGGAGAAAAGGAAAGCACAGAGGUACCUGUCUGUUGUCUGAUUUGUGGGUAAGAAAAGUCCAUCAUGUGGAAACUGGACAGAGGCCUUAAGCAGAGAAGGAUCUUAAGAAGAACUGCAACAGUGACCUGGCUGGGUCUUUAAGGGGGAAAUCACCCUAUCCAAUGGGUAAGGUUGACCUCACAUCCCUUCCAAAUGAGGUUCUAGAUCUUUAAGUUGAUCUAUUUCAAGAGGUUUUUUGGAGCACGUGAAAUCACUCUAAAAUGAUUGCUUCAAAAGAAAGCUGUGCUGAAGCAAAAACAAAUCAAUUAAGAGUUUCUCUGUUGGAGAGCUUCAGGCCACUAACUCUUGAAGACAUUUUAACCUGAGUGAUUAUUUCCUCUAGGUCAUGAAAAUCAAUGUAUUAGUCCCUCUAUAGCAACUCUGCCUCUGGACUCACCACCUGCGACCAGAAACACUCCCUCCCAAAGCGAGGCGGCUUAGACCAUAACGAAAUUACCUGAUCUCUCUAUUCCUACUCCAACAGGUCAUGGGAAAAGAACAAAAUGAUCUAUUAAAAACUGCAGCUGUGCUAUAGUUAUGGGCAAUGUCACUAUGGGGAGAAACUAGCUGAUGGAUACUCGAGACCUCUCUGUACUAUUUUUAUCACUGCUUAGGAACCUAUAAUUAUUUCAAAAAAAAAAUUGAAAAACAAAACCAGCAGCUGUCUGAAAAAAUUAUCUUCAAGCUAAUCAUGAGAAACAAAAGUCAAAACUCACGACUGGAUAAUUGGUCCCAAUUAUGCUAGUUCUGUACCUAAUGCUUGGAGAAAGACAUUCAGUAAGGAAACCAAGAAAUGAUACACAAGUGUCUGGCCAAACCCCUCCCUUCUUGGUUUAACUAAUAUGGAAGAGUAACAUUUGUUAUCUUAGAAACUAAGAAGUAAACUAACAACUGUAAAUGGCAAAAUUAAGAUUUAUAAAUUCAUUUUAUCAUUCUAAGAUCUAGAAAAGAGACCCACCCUAUUUUAUCCAAGCUAAAACUCUGCUGAUUGUAAGACACUUCAUUAUUUUAUGUAUCAUUAGGAAAGAAACAAACUUUGCCAAUUAACUAUGACACAAUGCCUUAAAGACAGUCUUGGGUGACAGUCAAACUAGUUCCUCACUGCUUUGUUCUGGGGGAUUUGGCAAUUUCUUCUGCCUUGAGUUGCAUUGCUUGUCGUGUGAUCAGCAGUCCUUCUGAAUGUAACUCAGUAACAAAACAUAACACAGCUUCAAUCAUUUCUCCAACUAUGAACAUUUGCUUGACUAAUAUUAAAUUUAGUGCCUGGUUUUCUCAUGCCUUUCUGUAUGCCCAAUAGCAUUUUGUUUCAUCAUGAAUAAAAUCUUAUUUCAAUAAUGUAAUCAUAUUGAGAGCAUAUUAAAUGACAGGUA